rnacentral:rRNA from 1 species
CCUACGGGGGUCUGCAGUAAGGAAUAUUGGUCAAUGGAGGAAACUCUGAACCAGCCAUCCCGCGUGAAGGAUGAAGGGGCUCUGCCUUGUAAACUUCUUUUGUCUGGGGCGAAAAAGCUCGAUUUAUCGAGAACUGACGGUACCAGAAGAAUAAGCACCGGCUAACUCCGUGCCAGCAGCCGCGGUAAUACGGAGGGUGCAGGCGUUAUCCGGAAUCACUGGGUUUAAGGGGGGCGUGUACGGCUGAGGUGAAAGGCUGGGGCUUAACCAUGGAAUUGCCAUGGAGACUGCAGAGCUUGAAUGAGGUUGAGGUUGGCGGAAUGUGACAUGUAGCGGUGAAAUGCUUAGAUAUGUCAUGGAACACCGAUUGCGAAGGCAGCUGACUGGACCUAUAUUGACGCUGAGGCACGAAAGCGUGGGGAGCGAACAGGAUUAGAUACCCCAGUAGUC